CAAACCACGCAUCUUAUUAAUCGGUUGACUUAUUAUACAACGGGUACGCGCAUAAAUAAUAUAAUAGCCACGACACGUUCGUAUUAUUAUGUAGGUAGAUGUUUUUUAAGAAAAAUCUUUAUUAUAUUCGUACGCGGGAAGUUUAUAGUUAGUUUAGUAUAAUAUCGUAUUAUUUAUUAGUUCAAUGUUCUCAUUUUUCAUUUAUUAUCAUUUUUUUUUGAAAUGAACUUAAAACACACAG